AGCGUAGACGGUGUGGCGAGUCUGAUGUGAAAGGCAUGGGCUCAACCUGUGGACUGCAUUGGAAACUGUCAUACUUGAGUGCCGGAGGGGUAAGCGGAAUUCCUAGUGUAGCGGUGAAAUGCGUAGAUAUUAGGAGGAACACCAGUGGCGAAGGCGGCUUACUGGACGGUAACUGACGUUGAGGCUCGAAAGCGUGGGAGCAAACA
rnacentral:rRNA from 1 species